rnacentral:lncRNA from 1 species
CAUUCCUAGGCAUAUACUCCGUGGUGUGGGGGAUCAUGCUGUGCUCACACUUCCCCACACGUGGAGAGAUGAUAAUACCUUGUAUAUUGUAUGGAUGCAUCAUCUGUCAGUUAAAAAGCCUAUGGCCUGUGACUUAGGCAGGAAAUAGAAGGUGGAACAUCCAAGAGGAGAAAGAAUUCUGGGAUAGAGCCAGACUCAAGAUCCACUGGGAAGAUGUGACUGGAUGGACACCGGCGUGGUACCUGAGCACAGC